rnacentral:rRNA from 1 species
CCUACGGGUGGCAGCAGUGGGGAAUAUUGCACAAUGGGCGAAAGCCUGAUGCAGCAACGCCGCGUGAAGGAAGACGGCUCUCUGAUUGUUAACUUCUGUUCAUGGUGAAGAAUAAUGAUGGUAACUAAGGAGCAAGCCACGGCCACCUAAGUGCCAGCAGCCGCGGUAAUAGGUAGGUGGCGAGCGUUUUCCGGAAUUACUGGGUGUAUCGGGAGCGUUGGCGGGAAGCCAAGUCAGCUGUGAAAGCUACGGGCUUAACCAGUAGAUUGCAGUUGAACCUGGCUUUCUUGAGUGAAGUUGAGGUAGGCGGAAUUCGGGGUGUAGCGGUGAAAUGCGUAGAUAUUCGGAGGAACACCGGUGGCGAAGGCGGCCAACUGGGCUUUAACUGACGCUGAGGCUCGAAAGUGUGGGGAGCAAACAGGAUUAGAUACCCCGGUAGUC